rnacentral:rRNA from 1 species
AUGGCGAACCCGGCUUCUCCUCGUCCCCCCAUCCGGUCGGUGAACCUCGGAAACUGGCUCGUCACUGAGGGCUGGAUUCUGCCCUCCCUCUUCGACGGCCUCCCCAACAAAGAUCUCCUGGAUGGCACGCAGCUGCAGUUCAAGUCCGUGACGCAGAACGCGUUCGUGGCUGCCGAGAAUGGCGGCGGUGCGGCGCUGGUCGCCAACCGUCCCUCGGCCUCAGGCUGGGAGACCUUCAAGCUCUAUCGGAUCAACCAGAACACCUUCAACUUCAAGGUGUUUAGCAACCAGUUCGUCACCGUCGCCGGCGUUAAUGUCGUGGCCACGGCCUCCACAUCAGUUCAGUCGUUCCAGCUGGUCCGCAACGAUGCUGACCAGAAUAGGAUAAGGAUCAGAGCACCCAAUGGGUCCCUCUUACAGGCAAACAAAGAUGGUUCGGUAACGGCCGACUUCCGCGAGAGGGCGACGACAUGGGGCGAUGACGACCCCUCCGUGUUUGUGGUGACCAUCGUCAAGGAGCUUCCCUCCCUCUUCGACGACAUACUCAACAAAGACCUCCUGGAUGGCACACAACUACAGUUCAGGUCCGUGACGCAGAAUGCGUUCGUGGCCGCCGAGAUUGGUGGUGGGGCGACACUUGUCGCCAACCGGGCCUCGGCCUCCAGCUGGGAGACCUUCAAGCUUUGGAGGAUCGACAAGAACACGUUCAACUUCAAGGUGUUCAACAACCAGUUCGUGAUCGUUGCCGGCGUUAAUGUGGUGGCCACAGCCUCCACAGCGGGGCAGUCGGAGACGUUCCAGCUGGUACGCAACGACGCUGACAAGGAUAGAAUGAGGAUCAGAGCACCCAAUGGGUCGUUCUUGCAGGCAAACAAAGAUGGUACGGUGACGGCGGACUUUGGCGAGAGCACGACAUGGGGCGAUGACGACUCCUCCGUGUUUGUGGUGACCAUCAUCACCGAUGGCUGGAUUCUGCGGUCCCUCUUCGGUGGCAUCCCAAACAACAACCUCAUGGAUGACACGCAGCUGCAACUCAAGUCCGUGACGCAAAACGCGUUCGUCGCCGCCGAGGAUGGCGGCGGGGCGGCACUAUUUGCCAGUCGCUCCUCGGCCUCCGGCUGGGAGACCUUUAAGCUCCAUCCGAUCAACCAAAACAACUUCAACCUCAAGGUGUUUAGCAACCAGUUCGUGACCCUCGCCGGCGUUAAUGUCGUGGCCACGGCCUCCACACCGGGUCAAUCGGAGACGUUCCAGCUGGUGCGCAACAACGUCGACAAGAAUAGGAUGAGGAUCAGAGCAUCCAAUGGGUUCCUCUUGCAGGCAAACAAAGAUGGCUCGAUGACGGCCGACUUCAGCGAGAGCACGACGACAUGGGGUGACGACGAUCCCUCCGUGUUUGUGGUGACCAUCAUCAAGGAUCUACCCUCCCUCUUCGACGACAUCCCCAACAAAGACCUCCUGCAGGAUGGCACGCAGCUGCAACUCAGGUCCGUGACGCAGAACGCGUUCGUGGCCGCCGAGAAUGGCGGCAGGGCGGCACUGGUCGCCAACCGGGCCUCAGCCUCCGGCUGGGAGACCUUCAAGUUGUGGCGGAUCGACCAGAACACCUUCAACCUCAAAGUGUUCAGCAACCAGUCUGUGACCGUCGUCGGCGUUAAUGUGGUGGCCACGGCCUCCAUGCCGGGUCCAUCAGAGAGGUUUAAGCUGGUGCGAAACAAGAAUAUGAUGAGGAUCAAAGCACCUAAUGGGUCCUUCGUGCAGGCAAACAAGGAUGGUUCAUUGACGGCCAACUUCGGCGAGAGCACGACAUGGGGUGACGAUGACCCCUCUGUGUUUGCGGUGACCAUCGUCAAGGGGCUGCCCUCCCUCUUCGAUGGCAUCCCCAACAAAGACCUCCUGGAUAGCACGCGUGUGCAGUUCAAGUCCAUGGCACAGAAGGGGUUUCUGGCUGCCGAGAAUGGGGGCGGAGGGGCACUUGUCGCCAAUCGGCCCUCGGCCUCCGACUGGGAGACCUUCAAGCUCUGGCGUAUCGACGAGAACACCUUCAACUUUAAGGUGUUCAACAACCAAUUCGUGACCGUGGCCGGCGUUAAUGUGGUGGCCACGGCCUCCAUGCCGGGGCAGUCGGAGACGUUCCAGCUGGUGCGCAAUGACGCUGACAACAAUAAGAUGAGGAUCAGAGCACCCAAUGGGUCCUUCUUACAGGCAAACAAAGAUGGUUCGGUGACGGCCGACUUCGUCAAGAGCACGAAAUGGGGCGAGGAAGACCCCUCCGUGUUUGCGGUGACCAUCGUCGGGCAGGCGCUGCAAGGGGAGUACCAGAUCUGCAAUGGCUAUGGCAAAGAUACGGCUACACAGAUCAUGAAUGAACACCGGAGCACAUAUAUCGUGGAACGCGACUUCGCUUUCAUGGCGGCAAACGGCCUUAAUGCAGUGAGGAUCCCAGUCGGGUGGUGGAUCGCCAGCGACCCCAACCCUCCAGCACCAUUAGUCGGAGGCUCUUUGCAAGCCUUGGACAACGCGUUCACAUGGGCAGAGAGGCACAAUAUUGGCGUGAUCAUAGACUUACAUGCAGCACCUGGGGCGCAGAACCCCUGGGAGCAUGGCGGUAGUAGGGAUGGCUCGCGGACCUGGGGAGACUCCAACAUUGCGGAAACAGUGCAAGUCAUUGAUUUCCUCGCAGCAAGGUAUGCCAGGAGAUCAGGCCUCCUGGCGGUGGAGUUGAUGAAUGAGCCAGUGGCUCCCGGCGUGUCCCUAGAUAGCUUAAAAAGAUACUACCAACAGGGCUACAACGCUGUUAGGAAGCACUCGCCUACGGCCUAUGUGAUCAUGUCCAACCGAAUUGCAGGGCAUUGGGACGAGCUCGUCGAUUUUGCCACACCGUUCAGCAGAACCGUCCUUGACGGGCAUCCCUACCUGGUCUUCGAACCCAAGUUAGACAAAUCCAAUGUGCAGCAGAACAUCGAUUUCGUCAACAAAGAGAUCGCCGGUGAUCUCAGCACCAUGACAAGGCCAGAUGGCCCUCUCACUUUUGUUGGUGAAUGGGUGGCUGAGUGGAAGGUAAAGGGUGCUUCGAAGGAAGACUUCCAACGGUGUGCAAAUGCUCAGAUGGCUGUGUAUCGGAAAGCCACAUUUGGAUGGGCUUACUGGUCGUACAAGCAUGUUAGCAACCACUGGAGUAUGGAGUGGAUGAUCAACAACGGAUACAUCUCCUUAAAAAAUGCUUGA